rnacentral:rRNA from 1 species
AGAGUUUGAUCCUGGCUCAGAGUGAACGCUGGCGGCAGGCCUAACACAUGCAAGUCGAGCGGCAGCGCGGGGGCAACCCUGGCGGCGAGCGGCGGACGGGUGAGGAAUGCGUCGGAAUCUGCCUCUUUGUGGGGGAUAACGUAGGGAAACUUACGCUAAUACCGCAUACGACCUACGGGUGAAAGUGGGGGACCUUCGGGCCUCACGCAGAGAGAUGAGCCGACGCCGGAUUAGCUAGUUGGCGGGGUAAAGGCCCACCAAGGCGACGAUCCGUAGCUGGUCUGAGAGGAUGAUCAGCCACACUGGAACUGAGACACGGUCCAGACUCCUACGGGAGGCAGCAGUGGGGAAUAUUGGACAAUGGGCGCAAGCCUGAUCCAGCCAUGCCGCGUGUGUGAAGAAGGCCUUCGGGUUGUAAAGCACUUUUGUCCGGAAAGAAAUCCUUCGAAUUAAUACUUCGGAGGGAUGACGGUACCGGAAGAAUAAGCACCGGCUAACUUCGUGCCAGCAGCCGCGGUAAUACGAAGGGUGCAAGCGUUACUCGGAAUUACUGGGCGUAAAGCGUGCGUAGGUGGUUCGUUAAGUCUGAUGUGAAAGCCCUGGGCUCAACCUGGGAAUGGCAUUGGAUACUGGCGAUCUAGAGUGCGGUGGAGGGGUGUGGAAUUCCCGGUGUAGCAGUGAAAUGCGUAGAUAUCGGGAGGAACAUCUGUGGCGAAGGCGACACCCUGGACCAGCACUGACACUGAGGCACGAAAGCGUGGGGGAGCAAACAGGAUUAGAUACCCUGGUAGUCCACGCCC